rnacentral:tRNA from 2 species
CGGGGCGUAGCGCAGCCUGGUAGCGCACUUGCAUGGGGUGCAAGGGGUCGUGAGUUCGAAUCCCACCGUUCCGA